GACGAACGCUGGCGGCGUGCCUAAUACAUGCAAGUCGAACGCAGUGGGGACGGGUGAGUAACCCGUGGGUAACCUCCCAUCAGAGGGGAUAACACUUGGAAACAGGUGCUAAACCGAUACUGUUGGCUGGACCCGCGGGGCAUUAGCUAGUUGGGGAGGUAACGGCCCACCAAGGCCAGGAUGCAUAGCCGACCGGAGGGGAUGUUCGGCCACACUGGACCUGAGAACCGGCCCAAACUCCAACGGGAGGCAGCCGUGGGGAAUCGUCGGCAAUGGACGAAAGUCUGACCGAGCAACGCCGCGUGAGUGAAGAAGGUUUUCGGAUCGUAAAACUCUGUUGUUAGAGAGGCGGUAACUAACCAGAAAGCCACGGCUAACUACGUGCCAGCAGCCGCGGUAAUAC
rnacentral:rRNA from 1 species